GACGAACGCUGGCGGCGUGCUUAACACAUGCCAGUCGAACGGAAAGGCCCUGCUUUUGUGGGGUGCUCGAGUGGCGAACGGGUGAGUAACACGUGAGUAACCUGCCCUUGACUUUGGGAUAACUUCAGGAAACUGGGGCUAAUACCGGAUAGGAGCUCCUGCUGCAUGGUGGGGGUUGGAAAGCUUAGGCGGUUGGGGAUGGACGCGCGGCUUAUCAGCUUGUUGGUGGGGUAGUGGCUUACCAAGGCUUUGACGGGUAGCCGGCAUGAGAGGGUGACCGGCGACAUUGCGACUGCGAUACGGACCAGACUCCUACGGGAGGCAGCAGGGGGGAAUAUUGCACAAUGGGCGGAAGCCUGAUGCAGCAACGCCGCGUGCGGGAUGACGGCCUUCGGGUUGUAAACCGCUUUAGCCUGUGACGAAGCGUGAGUGACGGUAAUGGGUAAAGAAGCACCGGCUAACUACGUG
rnacentral:rRNA from 1 species